rnacentral:rRNA from 1 species
AUUGAACGCUGGCGGAAUGCUUUACACAUGCAAGUCGAGCGGCAGCGCGGGGCAACCUGGCGGCGAGCGGCGAACGGGUGAGUAACACAUCGGAACGUGCCCAGACGUGGGGGAUAGCCCGGCGAAAGCCGGAUUAAUACCGCAUACGAUCUGAGGAUGAAAGCGGGGGAUCGCAAGACCUCGCGCGUUUGGAGCGGCCGAUGGCAGAUUAGGUAGUUGGUGGGGUAAAGGCUUACCAAGCCUGCGAUCUGUAGCUGGUCUGAGAGGAUGAUCAGCCACACUGGGACUGAGACACGGCCCAGACUCCUACGGGAGGCAGCAGUGGGGAAUUUUGGACAAUGGGCGCAAGCCUGAUCCAGCCAUUCCGCGUGCAGGGC